AGGACGUGGCCGGCGGUGCCUAAUACAUGCAAGUCGAACGAACUCUGGUAUUGAUUGGUGCUUGCAUCAUGAUUUACAUUUGAGUGAGUGGCGAACUGGUGAGUAACACGUGGGAAACCUGCCCAGAAGCGGGGGAUAACACCUGGAAACAGAUGCUAAUACCGCAUAACAACUUGGACCGCAUGGUCCGAGUUUGAAAGAUGGCUUCGGCUAUCACUUUUGGAUGGUCCCGCGGCGUAUUAGCUAGAUGGUGGGGUAACGGCUCACCAUGGCAAUGAUACGUAGCCGACCUGAGAGGGUAAUCGGCCACAUUGGGACUGAGACACGGCCCAAACUCCUACGGGAGGCAGCAGUAGGGAAUCUUCCACAAUGGACGAAAGUCUGAUGGAGCAACGCCGCGUGAGUGAAGAAGGGUUUCGGCUCGUAAAACUCUGUUGUUAAAGAAGAACAUAUCUGAGAGUAACUGUUCAGGUAUUGACGGUAUUUAACCAGAAAGCCACGGCUAACUACGUGCCAGCAGCCGCGGUAAUACGUAGGUGGCAAGCGUUGUCCGGAUUUAUUGGGCGUAAAGCGAGCGCAGGCGGUUUUUUAAGUCUGAUGUGAAAGCCUUCGGCUCAACCGAAGAAGUGCAUCGGAAACUGGGAAACUUGAGUGCAGAAGAGGACAGUGGAACUCCAUGUGUAGCGGUGAAAUGCGUAGAUAUAUGGGAAGAACACCCAGUGGCGAAGGCGGCUGUCUGGUCUGUAACUGACGCUGAGGCUCGAAAGUAUGGGUAGCAAACAGGAUUAGAUACCCUGGUAGUCCAUACCGUAAACGAUGAAUGCUAAGUGUUGGAGGGUUUCCGCCCUUCAGUGCUGCAGCUAACGCAUUAAGCAUUCCGCCUGGGGAGUACGGCCGCAAGGCUGAAACUCAAAGGAAUUGACGGGGGCCCGCACAAGCGGUGGAGCAUGUGGUUUAAUUCGAAGCUACGCGAAGAACCUUACCAGGUCUUGACAUACUAUGCAAAUCUAAGAGAUUAGACGUUCCCUUCGGGGACAUGGAUACAGGUGGUGCAUGGUUGUCGUCAGCUCGUGUCGUGAGAUGUUGGGUUAAGUCCCGCAACGAGCGCAACCCUUAUUAUCAGUUGCCAGCAUUAAGUUGGGCACUCUGGUGAGACUGCCGGUGACAAACCGGAGGAAGGUGGGGAUGACGUCAAAUCAUCAUGCCCCUUAUGACCUGGGCUACACACGUGCUACAAUGGAUGGUACAACGAGUUGCGAACUCGCGAGAGUAAGCUAAUCUCUUAAAGCCAUUCUCAGUUCGGAUUGUAGGCUGCAACUCGCCUACAUGAAGUCGGAAUCGCUAGUAAUCGCGGAUCAGCAUGCCGCGGUGAAUACGUUCCCGGGCCUUGUACACACCGCCCGUCACACCAUGAGAGUUUGUAACACCCAAAGUCGGUGGGGUAACCUUUUAGGAACCAGCCGCCUAAGGUGGACCAAGAUAUG
rnacentral:rRNA from 1 species